CUAACGGCAGCCGAGGGUGACCUUAGGGAAAGUGCAACAGAAAACAAACCGCCGCAGCAAUGCGGUAAGGAUGAAACGGCGAGGUAAGAGCUCACCAGCGCAUGGGUGACCAUGCGGCUUUGUAAACCCUACCGGAAGCAACGCCUAUAUGGGACGUACAGCGCUGCUCGCGUGUCCCGAAGGCGGCACGAGCCUGUCAGCAAUGGCAGGCCUAGACAGAUCGUCGUUUAAUACAGAACCCGGCUUACGGUCUAUCUCGUUUU
rnacentral:RNase_P_RNA from 1 species